rnacentral:rRNA from 1 species
AGCAGCCGCGGUAAUUCCAGCUCCAAUAGCGUAUAUUAAAGUUGUUGCAGUUAAAAAGCUCGUAGUUGAAUUUCGGGAUCAAUAUAUUGGUCGUGCCUCUGGUAUGUACUGGUAUCGUUGAUUUCUACCUUCUGACGAACCAUGAUGUCAUUAAUUUGGUGUCAUGGGAAAUCAGGACUGUUACUUUGAAAAAAUUAGAGUGUUUAAAGCAGGCACACGCUUGAAUACAUUAGCAUGGAAUAAUGAAAUAGGACGUUUGAUCCUAUUUUGUUGGUUUCUAGGGUCGACGUAAUGAUUAAUAGGGAUAGUUGGGGGCAUUAGUAUUCAAUUGUCAGAGGUGAAAUUCUUGGAUUUAUUGAAGACUAACUACUGCGAAAGCAUUUGCCAAGGAUGUUUUCAUUAAUCAAGAACGAAAGUUAGGGGAUCGAAGACGAUCAGAUACCGUCGUAGUCUUAACCAUAAACUAUGCCGACUAGGGAUCGGAUGAUGUUAAUUUUUUAAUGACUCAUUC